GCCUUAGGGGAGACGGUACCGAGGGAGGAAGCCCCGGUAAACUACGUGCCAGCAGCCGCGGUAAUACGUGGGGGGCAAGCGUUGUCCGAAAUCCUUGGGGGUAAAGGGGGCGUAGGCGUUUUUUUGGGUUUGGGGUGAAAGCCCGGGGUUCACCCUUGAAAAUGCCUUGGAAACUAUAAGACUUGAGUGCUGAAGAGGAGGGGGGAAUUCCCCGUGUAGGGGUGAAUUGCGUAAAGAUGGGGAGGAAUACCAUGGGCGAAGGCGCCUCGCUGGCCAUUGAUGGACCUUGAGG
rnacentral:rRNA from 1 species